GUGAAGACAAUGGGCUUCAUGGUAAGAAACCUUGUUAUUACGGUCACAACAUAUCACCAGGCAGUAUUCAAGUGAAGAAGACUUUAACAUUUGUGACAGUUCAGUGGCUCUAUUUCUGAUGAAUGAACAACAGCUCUACAUAUGCCUUUGGAAAUGUUCAGGAUCAUAACUAGCAGAGAUGAAAUUUCUUCUU
rnacentral:lncRNA from 1 species